UGGCUCAGAUUGAACGCUGGCGGCAGGCCUAACACAUGCAAGUCGAGCGGAAACGAGAAGUAGCUUGCUACUUCGGCGUCGAGCGGCGGACGGGUGAGUAAUGCCUAGGAAAUUGCCUUGAUGUGGGGGAUAACUAUUGGAAACGAUAGCUAAUACCGCAUAAUGCCUACGGGCCAAAGAGGGGGAUCUUCGGACCUCUCGCGUCAAGAUAUGCCUAGGUGGGAUUAGCUAGUUGGUGAGGUAAUGGCUCACCAAGGCAACGAUCCCUAGCUGGUCUGAGAGGAUGAUCAGCCACACUGGAACUGAGACACGGUCCAGACUCCUACGGGAGGCAGCAGUGGGGAAUAUUGCACAAUGGGCGCAAGCCUGAUGCAGCCAUGCCGCGUGUAUGAAGAAGCCUUCGGGUUGUAAAGUCUUUCAGUCGUGAGGAAGGUUCAUCCUUAAUACGUUGGGAUUUGACGUUAGCAAAAGAANAANACU
rnacentral:rRNA from 1 species